rnacentral:rRNA from 1 species
UUAUUGGAGAGUUUGAUCCUGGCUCAGGACGAACGCUGGCGGCGUGCCUAAUACAUGCAAGUCGAGUGGACUUGAUGAGGAGCUUGCUCCUCUGAUGGUUAGCGGCGGACGGGUGAGUAACACGUAGGCAACCUGCCUGUAAGACUGGGAUAACUACCGGAA